UUCUUUGAAUCCAAAGGCAUCCCCAAAUAUUUGAAUGGGAGCCUGCCUUCAGAAUAUCCUAACACCUGUAAAAUCUCCUGCUUCUGCCAGUUGGUUACCCCUGCUAAUUACACUGCAUCAGUAUUUGCUUGAAGUCCAGAAACCUUAGAGAAUUUUUGGAGAGUCUGUUUCAGUAAGCUGACAGACUGAACAUCUGUCUUACAGAACAUAAGAAGAUCAUCCGCGAAGCAAACAUGUG
rnacentral:lncRNA from 1 species